ensembl:lncRNA
AGAGACAUAGCCUUAUGGGGACAUGGCCGUAUGGGGACAUGGUGCUUAUAGAGAGACAUGGCCUUAUGGGGACAUGCCCUUAUGGGGACAUGGUGCUUAUAGAGAGACAUAGCCUUAUGGGGACAUGGUGCUUAUAGAGAGAUAUAGCCUUAUGGGGACAUGGCCUUAUGGGGACAUGGUGCUUAUAGAGAGACAUAGCCUUAUGGGGACAUGGCCUUUUGGGGACAUGGUGCUUAUAGAGACAUAGCCUUAUGGGGACAUGGCCUUAUGGGGACAUGGUGCUUAUAGAGAAACAUAGCCUUAUGGGGACAUGGCCUUUUGGGGACAUGGUGCUUAUAGAGACAUAGCCUUAUGGGGACAUGGCCUUAUGGGGACAUGGUGCUUAUAGAGAGACAUAGCCUUAUGGGGACAUGGCCUUAUGGGGACAUGGUGCUUAUAGAGAAACAUAGCCUUAUGGGGACAUGGUGCUUAGCACUCCCUCUUAAGGCCUAAUAACACAGUGCAGAAAUACAAUAUGGUGCUUUACAGUAGAUUGAGGUUGGAAAAGGGAUAAGACUGCAGACAAUCAUCUUUGAAGAGGACCGACAGUCAUCAGACCACAUUAUGGGAAUUACGCCACAUUAUGGUCUUCAUCAGAAUUUGACCAUGUGUGUCUUUUAUAGAGGAGAGAUUUGAUUCUAAGGACAUUGUGCAAGUUUUUUUCAACAAAAAAAAACCCAAUGUUGUGCCAAGAUUGACAAUUCAUGUUGGCGUUCUUUCUUUGGGUUUUGUAGUCAGAGUCAUGAUUGGAUGUUAUUGAUACAUGCUGACUGAUAACUUUUGAAGUGAAAGCCAUAUAACACUCAAUCCACAAAAACUGCAGGGGCCAUACUUAUGAUUUAGCAUGUUAGCAGCUAACAAGGAUGGAUUUUAACCUGAAGGGACCCAUACUUAUGAUUUAGCAUGUUAGCGGCUAACUAGCACAGGUUUAAACCUGAAAGACCCAUACUUCUGAUUUAGCAUGUUAGCGGCUAACAAGCACAGGUUUAAACCUGAAAGACCCAUACUUCUGAUUUAGCAUGUUAGCGGCUAACUAGCACAGGUUUAAACCUGAAAGACCCAUACUUCUGAUUUAGCAUGUUAGCGGCUAACUAGCACAGGUUUAAACCUGAAAGACCCAUACUUCUGAUUUAGCAUGUUAGCGGCUAACUAGCACAGGUUUAAACCUGCAGGUAACAUCUUUAGCAGCUUUUCGCAUUUCCAAUUAGAAAACAUGUCUUACUUGGGAACUCUAACUGGCUCUUAAUCAAAACAAAGGAACAGUUCACUCUUUAUUUAUGUCAAAUGAACACAUGGUCAAAUUAAAGAAACGCUUCAAGAGGAAGUUGUAGUUUUCUACCAGCUCUGAUACUGUACCUAUAAAUAGAUCAAACUAAUACUUUUAACCUUAACAGUGUUCCUCACAAACUAAACCAGGGUCGUAUUCAUUAGUGCACAUCGUAGGAAAAACAUUUAACAAGGGAAAAAUGAAAAUGAGUUUCUUAUUGGACAGAUUCAAGUAGUCCCUCCCUGUUUCAGUCCAUUUUCAUCCAUUGGGUGACUAACACAACCCAGUUCCCUCUCCUCCCUCUAUUCUUCCAAUAUAAUGUGCUUCCUUCUUGUUCACAUGGCUGAUAUUGGUUUGUUCUGAGUAUUUAUAUAAUCUCCCUGUUUUUAUUUUUUAUCCUGUUUGUACAUAUGAAUAUUAAACAGCCUUGUCAUUUUCCAAUACAUAUUUGAUCAAUAAUUUUAAAUGCAAUUUUUAAUAAAAUUAUAAUAAAAUAAAAAUCUUGUUGUGAUAUUAUUCAGUGACAGAACAGAAGAGAGGUACUUGUUACCAGAGUAAUCAUAGGCAAAAACUUCAAAUUUGUAUAUAUUUGUGUGCAGCUAUAUUAGAUUCUAGUAACGUAUCAGUUUUGUCAUGGACUGGACAGCUGUCUCUAUACCAUCGUUCCUGUUCUAUACCAAACAUUACAUACAACACACACAACUAAGAGAAAAAAAUGCAAAAUUCCCAAGUUAACACAGUUGGAAGAUUCUGGGAAUAUUUUUUAUUUAAUUUUUUUUAACUAGGCAAGUCAGUUAAGAACAAAUUCUUAUUUACAGUGACGGCCUAAACCGGGCCAAACCCGGACGACGCCGGGCCAAUUGUGCUUCGCCCUAUGGGACUCCCACUCACGGCCGGGUUAUGAUACAGCCUGGAUUCUGACUCCUCAAGCACCGAGAUGCUGCGCCACUCAGGUGCCCCAAUCAUGAGGGAACAAGAACAUCCUCCAAACAGGAUCUCCAAAACAACUGGGACAGGAAGAAAAAUCAUUACAUUUCUCUACAACGAAAAUGUUGUAAAAAUCAGAGAGAAUCAAAACGUCCUCUCCCCUCCUCCGGGUCUCUCAAUUCACAGGUUGUAAAAUCUCUCAAAAUCAUGGACAGAAACAAAAUAUUUUACAGCAGUUUUAAUGAGAACAGACUUUCAUAUGCAAACCAGUGACCGUUACGGUCUGAGAAAAUAGCUCAUUUGAACUUGUAAUUUACAUGGAUAUUUUGAUGGAUUUGUGGAACAAAAAAAAAUGGGUUGCUUUUUGUAUGAACAUAACAUAUUGUACUGUACUACAGCUCUCGGGGAUAGCAUCCCAAAUGGCACCCUAUUCCCUAUAUAGUGCACUACUUUAGACCAGGAACCUAUGGACCCUAAAAGUAGUGCACUAUAUAGGGAAUAGGGCGCCAUUUGGGAUGCUCCCCUACUCUGAGACGUUUCACACCCAGUGUCCACUGAGCACACUGCAGGCCAAACGCAGUGUCCACUGAGCACACUGCAGGCCAAACGCAGUGUCCACUGAGCACACUGCAGGCCAAAC